rnacentral:rRNA from 1 species
UACGUAGGGUGCGAGCGUUAAUCGGAAUUACUGGGCGUAAAGCGUGCGCAGGCGGUUGUACAAGACAGGUGUGAAAUCCCCGGGCUCAACCUGGGAACUGCACUUGUGACUGUAUGACUGGAGUACGGCAGAGGGGGAUGGAAUUCCGCGUGUAGCAGUGAAAUGCGUAGAUAUGCGGAGGAACACCGAUGGCGAAGGCAAUCCCCUGGGCCUGUACUGACGCUCAUGCACGAAAGCGUGGGGAGCAAACAGG